AGACCAGAGAGAACGUGUGUUUGUGUGUGUGUGUGGGUGUGUGUGUGCGUGUGUGACGUGUGUGUGCGCGCGUGUGUGUGUGUGCGUGUGUGUAUGUGUAUGUGCGUAUGCGUGCGUGUGUGGGAGUGUGGGGGAGAGGGAGGGUGGCCACAAGUUCGUGUGUCCGGAGGUAAGACGAUGAAGGGUUGAAUUCAAACGGCAGACGCUACACAUCAAACACAAUUAAUAGAUCAUCACAUCACACAACAACGUGCGUGCAUUGCCCAAUCUUGAUGACGGUCCGACUACAUGUCGCAUCCAACUUCUAGUGCGUGAUGCGGAGAGUUGUGGGUAGGGGAGGGGAGCAGACAGGAUCGGGAGGAGGAGGAGGAGGAGGAGGAGGAGUAGGAGGAGGGGGAGGGGGAGGGGGGGGGGGGGGGGGGGGGGGGCGGGCAGCGAGAAAGCAUGUCAGCACUUGUUUUGAACAGCGAGAGAGGGCGUGGCGAGCAAAGACACCAGUGAGUGAAAGCCUGCCAGGACUACCACAUUGAAGAGCUCUCACCACAAGCAAGUCACGACAGCAUCUCGGGACGAUCACUCUCCCGUACCAUAAACUUGACUGUUGACACUAUUGCGUGGAAUUAUAAACGAAGACUGAUUAUCGCCUAAUUCGCGCCUAAUCGACGAUUCGAAAAAGCAAACAAACCAGAGGGACGUAUACCGUGGAAUGGUUUUCUUAAGUGGACCUUGUUUAUUAUAUUCUCACCUCGGGCGCUUCACCACGGCUUGAAUCAUCGUCCGCUGUUUGUUUGGCAGAUUUUGCGUCCGAUGUCCACUUGUUACCAUCGGUUAGUGACCCGCGGACAGAUAAUUUCUCACCACGGAUCGCCAUACACGCCAAGCUGCCAUUGAGAUGGCUCGUGCAGAGACACUGGAGAGUGCAGGAGCAGGAGGAGGUGGAGGAGGAGGAGGAGGAGGAGGAGGAGGAAGAGGAGGUGCAGAGGGAGAGAGAGGAGGCUCUCUGGUCCGGCCCAGCAGCUGUCGCAUGGAGCGGCCCAUUCCGGGCCUGGAGUCAUGGCCCAGCCUGCUCUCAACCACCCCUACCACCACCUCCAGCAGCUACGACCUCCACCAGAGCCUGAACCUCCCCCGGGCCCUCCCCCGGGCCACGGCCCUCCUCCUUCAAGGCCCGCCGCGGCCUCGGCCCCCCCAGGCCCCCAGCUCCACGAAGGAGGAGGAGGAGGAGGAGGAAGAGGAGGAGGAGGAAGAGGAGGAGAGACCCAGGGCUGAGGACAGGUUGUGUUCUGGGGAACCACCAGCAGAGAUGACGGGAUGCUGCCCCCCAGUGGAGACACUUCAGAACGUGCCUCCACCUUCUCAACUUUGUCUCCCAGGCAUUCAACAACCUCUACCACUUCAGAUAGGACACCCUUUACCCGUUACCAUGGAUACCCCCCCCCCCCCCCCCCCCCCCCCCCCCCCCCCUCCUGAUUGGCUUCCCUUUUGUUGGAUGGAUCCAGCAGUGGAACAGUUCAGUGCCACUGGUCUGGUGACUCCGGUCCUAAGCCACUCUAAGGGGACUCCUCUUGGCGGACUGCGGGGGGAUCCUUCCCAUUAAUGAGGGGUCUGGGACUGCUGGCCCAGACUGGAACCGCGGCCGCGGUUCUGUACAUUCUGUAAAUGUGUUGGCUUUCUUCCGUUGUGUUUACUAGCUUUUUGGUUGACUUGCAUUUUGUUUUUGAGGGACGUAGCUUCUUGUGUAGCAAUGUGUGUGUGCGAGUGACUCUUAUGUGUGGAGGACUGAUAUCUGAGUUUGCAGCACUUGGAUGCUGGAGGAAGGAAUGCGCGCCUGAAUCCACCUGCUCUGGAGAAAACUGGAGAUCAUUCAUCCCAACGAUCCUUCAAGCCCAUCGCACGACGUGCCUUCCUACAAGACGUAAACGUGCACACAAUUUGACAAUCGCAACCUCAUCCCCGCUAGUGGAUGAGAGUGGCUAACGCUAGCUGCAGUGAGCAGCUAGCGUGCAAGAUAGCUGUUAAUGCCUAUAUUGCAGAGACGGAGUACUGCAAUCUGAAGCCACCAGAAAGCCUGUGGAAAUGAUGGGAUCAGGACUACCUGACGCAUACACACACACAUACAAACACAUACACACACACACACAAACACUGGCGCGCACACAAACACACGCAUACACGUGGUAAAUGAUGGUGUUUGUGCACACUGUAGAGGAUGGUGCCAGUAUUUUAUCUCAGAGAUUUGGAUAUUAGCCAGUUAAUUUAGAAGCUUUUUGAAGGAUCGGUUUUUGAGCUAAGAAUCAACUUGAAAGUCGUUAAAGCGAAUUCAAUGGUUGUGUUCGAGUUCUGUGACACCUGCAGCUCAUGCAGUUUAUGUUAUGUUUUGGACUGCAUCGUGGAAGCAGUAGAGCCAGAUUACAAGAUUUGAAUCCAGUGGAUUUGAACAUUUCCUGAGAGUAAAAAGAUAUAUAUCAAUCGAUUUAUAAAGAUAUGAUUUGGAUUGAUAUAUAGAUAUGAAAUGGAUCGAUAUAGAUAUGAUUUAGAUCUUUUGAAAAGGUAUCAAUUGAUGAACUGAAUGAUCCCUUACAUUUUGUGCAAAAAAAAACAACGUGUUUAUAUCAGGACCAUUAUUUAUUUUGAAAAGGAGUUUUGCCUUGUUUAUGUUUUUCUACGUUUGUUUUUUUAACUUUCGUAUAAUGAUUAAUUUAUUUGUUCCUUUACAUUCCAGAUUACGUUUCUAUUUAAAAUGUUUAUUUUCAAUAAUGUAACAAUAAUCCUCUCCCAUAAUUGUCUAAACUCCUUUACAAUUUCAAUCAAUUUGAAUCAAACUGCUGUUAUAGUUUUGAUGAUCGGUUUCUGUUCGGGCAGGCCUACGCUGCUAGGUUCAAGUUGGCUCGGUCAGCCCCUCAUCUUCUGUUAGAGCCGCUCAACUAUCAAGACAUUAUUCAGCCGUCAGGAAGCUUUCAUUUGGUUUCUUUCUGUCUAAUAACCACUGUCACUGCCAGACCCAAAUGUCAUGAAAUCGGAGUCCUUUGUAUCUUUCUCUUCGGGCCUUAUGUGUUCUCGUGUGAUGGUUCUCAGUUCACUGUUCUCCUGUUAGCAUUUCAAACAGUUAUGUUGUGUAUUGUCCUGCGCAGCUACAAACACGCAGUUUUGUUAGACAACAGCGACAUUUACAUUUUUCUAAAUACUUCAAAUGGUUGUGUUUGACAAUUUUCCAUGGUAUUUUACUGGGCAAAAAAAAGGACGAGGCACUUCCGAACAUUUCCGGUAGACUUCCUGUAGUGGAACGUAACGUCCUGUGGUCCUCUCUUUGACUUCCUUGUUGAACAGUGCACUUCCUGGUUACGAGGCUGAAGUUUUGCUGGUCAGCCUGCAGCCCUGCACCAAAGGUUUCGGUGCAGUGUAUAUUUCUGUUUUCUACAUGAAUUUUGUACUUAUUUUCAUUUCACUUUUUUAUAUAAUAAAGAUACGUUGAUAUACAUAUCCUGUUCUUUCUGCCUCUUAAGUGUGUGUGUGUGUGGGUGCCUGUGUGUGUGUGUUCGUGUGUCAAUAUGUGUGUGUGUGUGUGUGUGUGUGGCAGGCGUGUGUACAUAGUGAACAUUGUUGUGUGUGUCACCACGACGCCCAUCAGCAAAGGUGAACCCAGUUCAGCUCCAAGAAUGAGGGCUGUGUGUGUGUGUGUGUGCGUGUGCGUGUGCGUGUGUGUGUGUGUGUGUGUGUGUAUAUAUGAUGGCUUAAUUCGAGAAGACCACUUCCAACUGAUAAGUGGAGAUAACUUGACCACACACACACACACGCACACACACACACACACACAUGGCUAGUGUGCUGACAGUAAGACAGUAGUCCAAUGCUUCCACAGUGUGGAUGGAGGAAGCUGGAAACUUGUAUUGACGUGACCUUGGCUGCAGACAGCCCGACCCCAUGAGCUUUUGAA
ensembl:lncRNA